GUGUUUGGGUGCCUGCAAGAGGGAGAGAGCAGAUCUGGUAGGUGGCUGCAAGGGGGAAGGGGCUUGCGCCUCCCCUUCUUCACUUUCCUUUUAUGGACUGGCGGCAAGAAACCCUAGGGUUUCUUGCUCCUGGGGUGUGGAAGAUGGCUGGAGAGAGAGGGAGAAGAGAGAGAGAGACUUGGGAGAAAGAGUUAUCUAUUUUCUUGGCUUAAUCAAAACUAUACAAGUACAUAUAUAUAUAAACACCGGGUCAAGUGACCCAAACCCAAAACUCCCUUGACCAACUCUAUGGGAGAUUAGGUUAACCCAAGCCCAUGUACACCC
rnacentral:lncRNA from 1 species